rnacentral:siRNA from 1 species
UGAACAAGCGCCGAUGUUUGUGCC